rfam:Glomerella graminicola M1.001 genomic scaffold supercont1.2, whole genome shotgun sequence.
UCCUCUUCAACGCUGCGUUUCUAUGCUGCAAACGGAGAGAUUCGCGCGCAAGCAAGAGUCUCUCAUCACUGGCAUAUGAGAAAUUCGGAGUAACUUCUUCACACCACUCACCCAAUGUCGCCUGCCUUGUGCGGGAUUGACGGGUCUGCCCGCGAGGGCCUGGCGUGACUUCACGUCUGCAAUUGGCAUCAGAAAAGCAGGGUCCGGGCCGACCUCAUGUAUAUCCUGAAUCCCUUCCGGGGGAUGCAGUAGAAGAUGGGGUUCUAGGACUCGGUGUCCCUAUGGGAGAGCCGUUGCGAAAAGAUUGUGCAGAGCACUUGAGUGCGAUACGCAGCGUCUGGACACUGGCUGGCCUUGGCUGGUCAGGGGCUUGACAAUUCAAUUCCGAUCAUUCUGUUGAGGA